AGUGAACGCUGGCGGUAGGCCUAACACAUGCAAGUCGAACGGCAGCACAGGAGAGCUUGCUCUCUGGGUGGCGAGUGGCGGACGGGUGAGGAAUACAUCGGAAUCUACUCUGUCGUGGGGGAUAACGUAGGGAAACUUACGCUAAUACCGCAUACGACCUACGGGUGAAAGCAGGGGACCUUCGGGCCUUGCGCGAUUGAAUGAGCCGAUGUCGGAUUAGCUAGUUGGCGGGGUAAAGGCCCACCAAGGCGACGAUCCGUAGCUGGUCUGAGAGGAUGAACAGCCACACUGGAACGGAGACACGGGCCAGACUCCUACGGGAGGCAGCAGUGGGGAAUAUUGGACAAUGGGCGCAAGCCUGAUCCAGCCAUACCGCGUGGGUGAAGAAGGCCUUCGGGUUGUAAAGCCCUUUUGUUGGGAAAGAAAUCCAGCUGGCUAAUACCCGGUUGGGAUGACGGUACCCAAAGAAUAAGCACCGGCUAACUUCGUGCCAGCCGCCGCGGUAA
rnacentral:rRNA from 1 species